GAUGAACGCUGGCGGCGUGCCUAAUACAUGCAAGUCGAGCGAAUGGAUUAAGAGCUUGCUCUUAUGAAGUUAGCGGCGGACGGGUGAGUAACACGUGGGUAACCUGCCCAUAAGACUGGGAUAACUCCGGGAAACCGGGGCUAAUACCGGAUAACAUUUUGAACCGCAUGGUUCGAAAUUGAAAGGCGGCUUCGGCUGUCACUUAUGGAUGGACCCGCGUCGCAUUAGCUAGUUGGUGAGGUAACGGCUCACCAAGGCAACGAUGCGUAGCCGACCUGAGAGGGUGACCGGCCACACUGGGACUGAGACACGGCCCAGACUCCUACGGGAGGCAGCAGUAGGGAAUCCUCCGCAAUGGACGAAAGUCUGACGGAGCAACGCCGCGUGAGUGAUGAAGGCUUUCGGGUCGUAAAACUCUGUUGUUAGGGGAGAACAAGUGCUAGUUGAAUAAGCUGGCACCUUGACGGUACCUAACCAGAAAGCCACGGCUAACUACGUGCCAGCCGCCACAGUAA
rnacentral:rRNA from 1 species